rnacentral:rRNA from 1 species
UACGGAGGGUGCGAGCGUUGUCCGGAAUCACUGGGCGUAAAGGGCGCGUAGGCGGCUUGGUAAGCGUGCGGUGAAAGCUUGGGGCUCAACCCCGAGUCGGCCGUGCGAACUGCCAGGCUUGAGCACUGUAGAGGCAGGCGGAAUUCCGGGUGUAGCGGUGGAAUGCGUAGAGAUCCGGAAGAACACCGGAGGCGAAGGCGGCUUGCUGGGCGUGAUCUGACGCUGAGGCGCGAAAGCGUGGGGAGCGAACAGGA